rnacentral:tRNA from 1 species
GCAAUGGUGGUUCGGUGGUAGAAUUCUCACCUUCCAUGUGGGAGACCUGAGUUCGAUUCCUGGCCGAUGCA